rnacentral:rRNA from 1 species
UGUACAACUCUUAUCGAUAAGCCAUUGGAGGGCAAGUCUGGUGCCAGCAGCCGCGGUAAUUCCAGCUCCAAUAGCGUAUAUUAACGUUGUUGCAGUUAAAAAGCUCGUAGUUGAAGUGUGGGUGAUCGCUGUUGUGAGACUUCGGUCUCUCGACAGUAAGUCACCCCCUUCCAGUAUCCAGUAGUGGGUAUUCAGUUACUUACUAUUGUGUGUUGGUCAUUUACUGUGAGAAAAUUAGAGUGUUCAAAGCAGGCGUUUGCUUGAAUAGAUUAGCAUGGAAUAAUAAUUGAAGGCUUUCGUGUUCGAUUUGAUUGGUUUGUUCAUGGAAGCAAGGUUAAAAGGAACAGUUGGGGGUAUUCAUAUUCACUAGUUAGAGGUGAAAUUCUCGGAUUUAUGGAAGAUGAACAAG